rnacentral:piRNA from 1 species
UGGAAAGGGUCAGCUGGGCAAUGAGU